rnacentral:lncRNA from 1 species
GAUUGAUGUCUGUCCUCAUAAAUUAGGAACUGGGCGAUUACAAAAAAACAGCAAUUCAGCAGCCUUUUGUUUUCAAUGAAGAGCUAGAAGACGACAGCCAGGGAUGUGUUCCAGGUAACUUCAAUGGUUAUCAGGAAGCUUCGUGGUACACGAUUGGGGGUGCAAUUAAAUAGCACGAUCAUGAACAUCACUGAUGGCUUUGGUCAGGUCUCCAGUGCAGUGAAGUGUAUGACCAUGAUUUUCUUUCCAGUUGAAGAGCCUAAAGAGGGAAGUAUCUUCAGGGAGAGAAAGUGGUGCCUUGAAGUAAAGGAGAAACAACUUUCCUUUUCUUAGUUGUUCAGAAUCUUCUCACUCUGUUGAGCAAUCGACACAGAGACAACUGACGCUAUGGAUUUGUCCCAUGGUCAAAGAAGAUUCCUGCAAAUGGCUUCAAAUACUACAAAGUCAAUCUAAGUGAAAAGUGUCACUUUCACUCCCCACAGAAUUCAAGGGUCUCCAUCUUAAUAGACUUACACUCUUUCUGCUACCCAAUGAUGUCAUAUAAAUAUGUGAAAUGGAUCUGAGUUUUCAUUUUCGACAGUGUUCUCAGAUAGACACUACAUUUUUUGCAGCCUCACUGGCUAUUAAGUGUGACCACGUGACCAAGUUUGGACCAAAGAAAGCGGAACUGCUUGAAGAAGCUGUCUUAGAUCCAGAAAAGCAAGCCACAUAUUGAGGCUGGGAGAGCUUCACCAUCACACUGAGUCCCUGGAUGACCUCGCGGAGCAGAAUCUUUUCUUCUUAUUCUACACUGUUACUGUUAGGAGGAAAAAUAAACUUCUAUCUUGUUGAGACAUUCUAUUUUAGGAAACACUCGAAACAGUAACACAGCCAAUAAUUUUAUGAAUAAACUCAUUCUACACCACACACACCCCCACAGACACCACUACACAUACAUACAAUAUUAGUAAGCUCCUACUAAGCAGACUUCAUUUUCUAUUCCUAUCACUGUUACCAAAGUGUAUGAAACAAGUUAAGAAUCUCUUACAUAACAAUAACUUAACAAUAGUAUCAAAUCAUCACAUUAUACACUUUAAACUUAUAUGCCAAUUACAUCUCAAUAAAGCUGGUAGAAAAGAAAAAAC